UGUAUUUUAAACGAAUUUAAACGGAAACUACUUGCAGUAAUUAUGUUUUAGAGAGAACUAUUUUAAAGAGAUUUUUCUGCUUUCUUAAAUUUGAGCUGUCAAAAUCAGGGCGUGCUUCGUUUUGUUUACCCUGCCCUUUGACUCAUCAAGGGCUGGGCUGGGACACCACAGGCAAACAUAGGAAAAGAUAGAAGAUGGACUACUGCUGGUGGUAUCAGUGGGUUGUUUGUUAUCAGCUUGGGAAAUGAUGUGGCAGUUGCAGUUGCACUUUGGGUUUACAGAACAUUGUUUGAAAUUGAAGGAUGGAACACAGAGGUCGGCCCAGAUCACAAAUGGGACAACCCAAAACCAGGGACCCUAGACUGGAUUACUACAAGUAUCCAAACCAGGAGAGAGGGCAGUGCUACCCUCUGCCAGACCCCAGAGAAUGGGACAGGACCUGGGGCCACCCUGAGUCACGCUUCAUGCCCCCUAUGGCCAGUCCUGUGAGGGGAGAUCCUUACACCUACGGACCUCAGCCCUAUCCUUAUGGGUAUGGAUGGGGAGAGCAGCAGCAACCACA